AGCAUUCCUGGGCCCAGCCAGGCUACCUUCGCCAUUCCAAUCAAUUCCAACUUCUCCCAGCUCCCAGGGGUAACAGUUCUUUAUGUGAGUAACACAGACUUGAUCCAACUCCCUUCCUUCGGCGCCAGCUUUACCUGGCUAGUUCCUCAUGGAUAACAGAGAGUGGACAUCUGUCACUGUAUGCCUGGGGCACGGUGAAGACCAUGAGAUGUCUGAGAGAGUCUCCCUGGAGCUAGAAAGUGGUGUCAUUGAAACAUUCCAGAAAUGAGCUAAAUCACUCAUGGAAGGCCUUGGGAACCAGGAUUUGUCCCGGUGGGCAGUGCGUGGUAGACAUUCACAUGAGCUCCAGUACUGAACACUGUGCCACCUGGCAGGAAGAGGUGUAAGAGGAACUCCGUGGAUGGUUUUCAGAGGUCAUUGACCCAGGAUCCUGCUGGGACCCCAGCAGGAGGGGAGGUCCGGGAAAUAACGCAUCACUUGUCCUGUGCAAGGGGAACCACUGGGAGCCCAGACCGGAAACUACCAUUUGCUUCUUACUCUUGCUGCAAAGGAAGAGACCCGGAGAAGUUUGCAACAAGAGCAGUUGAGAUGAGCACGACUAAGGAGACGUGGCUGCAGAGGUCAGACUCCAAAGGGACUCUCAAGGGUGAGUGGCCGAGGGUUGUUAGGGCUCAUUCAUGAGGAUGCCUACCGCAAAGAGCUUUCAAAUAAGCAGCGACUCCAAAAGGUCAACAGUGAAAACACAAACGUCCCAAUUAAAAAGCAGAGGGCUUGAACAGACAUUCUUCAAAGGAGACAGAUAGCCAUUAAGCACCUGAAAAGGGGCUUAACUUUGAUAAUCAUUACGAAUAUGCAAAUCAAAAUUACGAGAUACCACCUUGCACCUAUUAGAAUGGCCAUAGCUAAAAAUAAACAGAAAAUAACAAGUAUUAAAGACAUGGAGAAACUGGAAUCCUCAUGCAUGGUCAGUGGGAAGGUAAAAUGGUAAAACCACCGUGGAAAGCAGUAUUGAGGUUUCUCAAAAAAAUAAAAAUAGAAUUAUCAUGUGAUCCAGCAAUCCCACCUCUGGGUAUACAACCAAAAGAAUUGAAAGCAGGGGCCCAAACAGAUAUUUGUUCACCUGUGUACCUGACAGCAUUGCUCACAAUAGCCUAGAGAAGGAAGCAACCCACAUGUCCAUUGAAGGACAAAGGAAUAAACAAAAUGUGUUCUCUCCA